rnacentral:ncRNA from 1 species
AUAAAGUUUUAUUUUAGCUUAAUAAAUUUAUUUUUAAUUUAUUUUACAUAUAAGUUUUUGUAUUUGUUAAUUAAAAUUUUUAAAAAAAAUAAUUAUAUUUUAAUUAUAAGUAGUAAUUGGUAUUAAUUUUUAAAGGAAACUUUGAAUUAGUAAUUUAUUUAAUAUUAGUAAAAAUUGUGCCAGCAUCUGCGGUUAUACAAUUAAUAUAAGUAAAUUUUUUUUUAAUUAAAGUUAAAAGUGGGUUUAUGUUUUAAAUAUUACUUAAAUUUAUAAAGUUAAAUUUUUAAUUUAUAAAAGUUUAUGAUUAAUAUUUUUUAAGCUUGAAAAUUUUAUUAAUAAACUAGGAUUAGAUACCCUAUUAUUUAAAAUGUACAGAUAAAAGAUUGUAUUAGUAUUAGUUAUGAUCUUGAAAAUAAAUAAAUUUGGCGGUAUUUUAUUCUAUUCAGAGGAACUUGUUUUAUAAUUGAUGGUACACAUUAAAUCUUACUUAAUUUAUUAAAAUUUGUAUACCGUCGUCAUAAGAAUAUCUUAAAAAAGAAUAAAUAUUCUAAAAUUAAAAAUAUAAAUUAUGUCAGAUCAAGGUGCAGUUUAUAAUUAAGCAAAAAUGAGUUACAAUAAUAUAAUUUAUAUGGAUAUUUUAUUUAAAUAUAAAAUUGAAAGUGGAUUUGAGAGUAAAUUAAGAGAUAUAAAUUAAUUGAUUAUAGUUUUAAAAUAUGCACAUAUCGCCCGUCGCUCUUAUUUAUAGAUAAGAUAAGUCGUAACAUAGUAAAAGUACUGGAAAGUGUUUUUAGAUU